CCCCCCCCCCCCCCCCCCCCCCCCCCCCCCCCCCCCCCCCCCCCCCCCCCCCCCCCCCCCCCCCCCCCCCCCCCCCCCCCCCCCCCGGAGCCCCCCGCGCUGGGGGGGCGCCCCCCGCUCAUACGCAAAUAAAGGGUGCAGAGAUGGAGCGUGUGAGUGAAGGUGCUGGGGGGACCCCGCCCUCGCUCCGCGCUCAAGGGGGGGGGCACAGACUGGACCCCCCAAAAUGGGACCCCCGGGAUCUCCCCGUUAAAUGGUGCGGCUCCUUUAAGAGGGGCAGGGGGCGGGGUUGAAGAAGGGGAUGGGCCAGAAGGGGGGCGUGGCUCCAACAAGGCAGGGGGCGUUGCUAACCCCUGCUCAGUCACUGAUUGGCUCCUUUGAGCCUCGCCUCCUUGUCAAUCAUUGCCGUCAGCUCCUGAUUGGUGGAGUGGCCGCGCCCCUCCACUCACGGGGUGGUUACAUCCCCCCCUUGCCGCAAACCGAUUGGUUGGUUACACGUCACUCCCGAGCUCUGCUCCCGCCUCCUCGAUCUCGAUUGGCAGAGCCUACCAACUUUUCCUCUGCUGUUGCCAGGCAACGAGCUCCGCCUUCUCGUUCCCGAUUGGUGGAGAUUGUUCUUUAGCCGUGAUUGGCUGCAGUUGGGCAGCACACCCCCCCCGUGCUUCAUGUCGAUUGGUUACUUUAGCCAUCAAUCAAAGAACAAACUUCCGCAUUUCUCUGGGCAAAGCCCCAUUCGCCCUGCCCGAUUCGGCACCUCCCCGCGCGUCGGCACCGCUGUCCCCGGGCUGUCCGUAUCCCUGAGGGUCCCGCAUGUUCCCCCGUGUCCCCCGUCCCCGCAGACCUGUCCCGGAACCGGUUCGGGGAGGUGCCGGAGGCCGCCUGCCGCCUGGUCUCGCUGGAGGGAGAUCGGCCCCCCCCCGCCGCCUGGUCUCGCUGGAGGGGCUCAGCCUGUACCACAACUGCCUGCGCAGCGUCCCCCCCGCCAUCGCCAACCUGCAGGCGCUGGCGCACCUGGACCUCAGAGCACAUCAGUCUCAAAAGCACGCAGAAAAUCAGUGGCAAAGCAAAAGCGAAUGGCAAGAGCAAAUGGCUAAAAGCACCAACUCUCCCCGAUACAAAUUCUUAUGUAGGAUUUUUCCAACAAGCUAAGAUGCAAACUUGGAUCAUCACUCCUUAACCUAUUAGAAUUCCAGUUUCUUAGCGCUCUAGGUUACGUAUAUAACUACUCAUACGACCUGUCUUGUUCUAUUUGAAAAAGGCGAGCAAUAUUCUUACUCUAUCUCUAUUAUGUGUAAGUUCUGUCUGCCACUGUGGGCCUGGAGCCGCCCGCUGAAGAUAUCGGCAUGUUUCCAACUUUCACUAGAACUUGCACUGCUACUCUGUAAUCUGGACCUUUCACUUGCUAAAAGCAUUAGAGCUCACCCUAAAACUUACUAACUUAAACGUCUGCUUUGUGUGUGAGCGGCUUAACGUACUUCAGCCCAUCCAAAGGCUUUGAUUCAAUGGUUCUGGUUUCUCCCUGGAGAGCUCAGAGACCCCUGACUCACUCACUGCCUCCAUCCCCCCCCCCCCCCCCCCCCCCCCCCCCCCCCCCCCCCCCCCCCCCCCCCCCCCCCCCCCCCCCCCCCCCCCCCCCC
rnacentral:lncRNA from 12 species